ACGCCCAUUCACCGUAAGAACAUCCCGGCUCGCGAAUGAGUUCCCUUGUCCUUCCGAAGCCUUCUCAACCUCACGUGGCGGCGUCCUAUUGUUUGAGACAGUAGCCGGCUAACUGAAAUUCCGCCCGGCAACGGUGGCGAAGUAAGGGACAAAUCCCUUCAUCUCGCUUUCUGUUUAUCUUCCUAAGAUGAGGAUUUUGGUUGGCACCCUUGGAAGACACUUCUUUUUCUCUAGGCUGCUUCUUUUUUGUCCUCAAAGAAUCCGGUUUCUGCCCAGAAAGAAUUGUAUGAUAUCCAUCCCAGUUGGUUUCCCUUGGACCUCGCCACUUGCUGUGGGUAUUACUGAAAUUUUUGUCAAUUAUAAGUUAAUUGGAACCCAGACAUCUCUAGAUGAUGAGGCCGCAGAAGGAAACUUGAAUCAGAUUCUUGCUGCCAUUGAAGAUGCUCCAAGGUCCACUGAAGAAAUCUGUACUGCUUAUCUUGAUAAGCUAUGCAAAGCCGGAGAUAUUUCUAUUGCUGCCAGAUUGUUGCAAUUUUUGCGGAAUAAGAACAUCCUGCUUGGCCCUAAUGCUUAUAAUCUUGUUUUGGCAGCAGCAGGCAAAAAACCUGAGAUUGAAAUUUUGUCCCAAGUUUUCAAGGAUCUUGUAAUGUCUCGUGAUUCUUUGCCAUUGACUUCUUAUCUUACUCUUGCCAAGGGUUUUAUGGACACAAAUGAUCAUGUCUUGUUACUGAGACUUGUUAGAGAUGUAUCAGAGCUGACAUUUCCUAGAAGUACGAUGGUUAUGAAUAGAAUCAUCUUUGCCUUUGCUGAAUGUAGGCAGUUUGACAAAGCCCUGCUGAUAUAUGAUCAGAUAAAAGAUUUGAGGUGCAAGCCAGAUUUGAUCACGUAUAAUACUGUUUUGGAUAUUUUAGGUCGUGCAGGCCAGGUUGAUGAAAUGCUCCUUCAAUUUGGUUCUAUGAAGGAGGCAGGAAUUUCUCCAGAUUUCAUUUCUUACAAUACAUUAUUAAACCAGUUGCAGAAGGCUGGAAGGUUGGAUUUGUGUUUAGUGUACAUGAAGGAAAUGGGUGAGAGUGGAAUUGAACCAGAUUUGCUUACAUAUACUGCAUUAAUUCAGAGUUUUGGCCGAUCAGGGAAUAUUGAGGAGUCAUUGAAACUAUUUAGAGAGAUGAAGACAAAGCAGAUCCGUCCAUCAAUCUAUAUAUACCGAUCACUUAUCAAUAGUUUAAAGAAAAUGGGAAAGGUGGACCUGGCUAUGGCCCUUUUGGAGGAGAUGAAAGCAUCUCUUCCAAAUCUGGCUGGUCCAAGGGAUUUCAAACGUAAAGGCAGGCGGUAAAGCACGCAAUGUUCUGUUAUUUUGGCACUGAGACUGUUCCAAUGGUGGAGAUGAUUUUAAGGCCUGCUAUCAGUGAAGGAAGUGUAGCUCAAACUUCAGAAGUAACAUGCAAGGAAACAUCAAAAGAUAGGGAUGCUGUAGCCAAAAAUGAAGUAAAGAAACAGGCCAGUUUACAGUCUCCUUAGUCCUUAUUUUGUCUCUUGUUUGCCUCAUGGAUUCUCUGGUUGAUGUUACUUGCUUGUGCCAAUGUCAGUUGCUGCUAUUCUGGGGUUCUUUGCUGCUGUUGAAUUGUUGGAUUAAACUGUGGCUUAUGCUGAGUUGUGAAUGGGUUAUUAGUAAUACUAUUAGUUGCUUAUUUGUAGUGUGGUUGAGAGUUUGGUUGAGUUUCAGAGACUUUCCCUUGUUUUCUGAACUCCUAUGAAAAUUGUUGGUAUUUGCUCCAAUUUUGAAAGCAAGGUAUGCUGAUUUUGCUGGGAUUGUGUUGGUAACAGAAAUGUGUGGACUGCAUCUGUUUUUGGGGCUGAAUUUUGAUCCUUGUUGUGGGCUUGAAUUUUAAAGGUAGGGUAUGUGUUUGCUUGGCCUUGGAGUUCAGGUUUUGGAUUGGCAGUAUUUGUUAAGUUUUUGGGUGUGUUUGCUGAGGAGCUUCUUUGAUUGUUAAGGGGAUUAUUUCCUCAUCUUUUUGAGCUUCUAUUUGAGUUGAUUUAAACGCAACGAGAUGAAGCAGUUUUGUGCAUUUUGAGUAUUUGAAUACAGUGCCUUGAAUUAAUGUGCUUGGUGCUCUGGAACUUGAUGGAAUAAGCUUUAGAUAUAUGUGGACCUGCACAUGGGAUUUGUUUGUGUUAUUGUAUUAAAACGUUUAAACUCAGAAACAGAGCUUUUUCUUGGCAUUGCUUAUCACGCAACCGUACUUUUUCAGACUGUUAUGAUAAA